AGCAUGUGCACACUUGUCAUCUUUAUAUAUCUCCACCUGUGCACCUCGUGUAGACUUGGAUAUGGAAUUGACCUUUUGUGUCUCUUCCUUACAUUUCCCGGUCUAUGUUUUCUUCAUAUACCCUAAUGUAUGUUUAUAGAAUGUCAUAAACGGGCUUUCAUGGCCUAUAAAAACCUAUACAACUUUCAGCAACGGAUCUCUUGGCUCUCGCAUCGAUGAAGAACGCAGCGAAAUGCGAUAAGUAAUGUGAAUUGCAGAAUUCAGUGAAUCAUCGAAUCUUUGAACGCACCUUGCGCUCCUUGGUAUUCCGAGGAGCAUGCCUGUUUGAGUGUCAUUUAUAUAUCAAUCUCCUUCAGCUUUUGCUUGAUUGAGUAUUGGAUGUGGGGGUGUAUUAUUGUUGGCCUCUCUUCUGAGGUCAGCUCCCCUGAAAUGUAUUAGCGUGAACAAUUUUUUGUUAGCCGUUCAUUGGUGUGAUAAUCUAUCUACGCUAUUGUCGGACUAGUCAAAGUUCAGCUUCUAACAGAUCCAUUCGCUUGGACAUAUAUCUUUUAAUAACGUGGCCUCAAAU
rnacentral:rRNA from 1 species